GGUGGCAUUUCCAUCUCAGUCUUCCAUUUGUCACAGUUACAGCUGGCUUGGCACAUCAGCUUGCAUAGGCUCAGGAUUGCACACGAUUCACAAUGUUGCCUUCAUAAAUUAGUCAAGGCACCAGCCUCGAACUGAACAACUCCAGGUAAGCUCAGAAAAGAUUCCUCCACGACUUCCAUCUAAUCUGAGGUCUGCCUGAAAAGCAUUAGCAGUCUAUAAAUACUGUAAAUACAUACAUGAAUACAUACAUUUGAUAGACACCCCCUCCUUGCUGU